GACGAACGCUGGCGGCGUGCUUAACACAUGCAAGUCGAACGGAAAGGCCCUGCUUUCGUGGGGUGCCCGAGUGGCGAACGGGUGAGUAACACGUGAGUAACCUGCCCUUCACUUUGGGAUAACUUCACGAAACUGGGGCUAAUACCGGAUAGGAGCCCCUGCUGCAUGGUGGGGGUUGGAAAGUUGCGGCGGUCGGGGUUGGACUCGCGGCUUAUCUGCUUGUUGGUGGGGUAGUGGCUUACCAAGGCUUUGACGGGUAGCCCGCCUGAGAGCGGGACCGGCGACAAUGGUCCUAAGGUACGGAGCAGAGUGGUACGGGAGACAGCAGUGGGGAGCAUGGCACAGUGGGAGGGAGCGUGAGACGGCAACGCUGCGUGCGGGAUGACGGCUUUCGGGUAGUGAACCGCUUUCGCCUGAGACGAAGCGUGAGUGACGGUAAUGGAUAAAGAAGCACCGGCUAACUACGUG
rnacentral:rRNA from 1 species